rnacentral:rRNA from 1 species
CGGUCGCGUAACACGUAGGCAACCUGCCCGAAAGACCGGGACAACAUCUCGAAAGGGGUGCUAAUACCGGAUGUGCCCACUGGGAGACCUCUUCUGGUGAGUAAAUCCCGCGAGGGGCUUUUGGAGGGGCCUGCGGCCUAUCAGCUAGAUGGAGGGGUAACGGCCCACCAUGGCGACGACGGGUAGCUGGUCUGAGAGGAUGGUCAGCCGGACUGGGACUGAGACACGGCCCAG